GGCUCGGGGUGAUCGGCUCGGUCGAUCCUCCACCCUUUGUGUACCUACCUCUGUUGCUUUGGCGGGCCGCGGUCCUCCGCGGCCGCCCCCCUCCCCGGGGGGGUGGCCAGCGCCCGCCAGAGGACCAUCAAACUCCAGUCAGUAAACGAUGCAGUCUGAAAAACAUUUAAUAAACUAAAACUUUCAACAACGGAUCUCUUGGUUCUGGCAUCGAUGAAGAACGCAGCGAAAUGCGAUAAGUAAUGUGAAUUGCAGAAUUCAGUGAAUCAUCGAAUCUUUGAACGCACAUUGCGCCCUUUGGUAUUCCGAAGGGCAUGCCUGUUCGAGCGUCAUUACAACCCUCAAGCUCUGCUUGGUAUUGGGCACCGUCCUUUGCGGGCGCGCCUCAAAGACCUCGGCGGUGGCGUCUUGCCUCAAGCGUAGUAGAACAUACAUCUCGCUUCGGAGCGCAGGGCGUCGCCCGCCGGACGAACCUUCUGAACUUUUCUCAAGGUUGACCUCGGAUCAGGUAGGGAUACCCGCUGAACUUAAGCAUAUCAAUAAGCGGAGGA
rnacentral:rRNA from 1 species